AGAGUUUGAUCCUGGCUCAGAUUGAACGCUGGCGGCAGGCCUAACACAUGCAAGUCGAACGGUAGCACAGAGAGCUUGCUCUCGGGUGACGAGCGGCGGACGGGUGAGUAAUGUCUGGGAAACUGCCUGAUGGAGGGGGAUAACUACUGGAAACGAUAGCUAAUACCGCAUAACGUCGCAAGACCAAAGAGGGGGACCUUCGGGCCUCUUGCCAUCAGAUGUGCCCAGAUGGGAUUAGCUAGUAGGUGGGGUAACGGCUCACCUAGGCGACGAUCCCUAGCUGGUCUGAGAGGAUGACCAGCCACACUGGAACUGAGACACGGUUCAGACUCCUACGGGAGGCAGCAGUGGGGAAUAUUGCACAAUGGGCGCAAGCCUGAUGCAGCCAUGCCGCGUGUAUGAAGAAGGCCUUCGGGUUGUAAAGUACUUUCAGCGGGGAGGAAGGCGAUAAGGUUAAUAACCUUGUCGAUUGACGUUACCCGCAGAAGAAGCACCGGCUAACUCCGUGCCAGCAGCCGCGGUAAUACGGAGGGUGCAAGCGUUAAUCGGAAUUACUGGGCGUAAAGCGCACGCAGGCGGUCUGUCAAGUCGGAUGUGAAAUCCCCGGGCUCAACCUGGGGAACUGCAUUCGAAACUGGCAGGCUGGAGUCUUGUAGAGGGGGGGUAGAAUCUCCAGGUGUAGCGGUGAAAAUGCGUAGAGAUCUGGAGGAAUACCGGGUGGCGAAAGGCGGCCCCUGGACAAAGACUGACGCUCAGGUGCNAAAGCNUGGGGAGCAAACAGGAUUAGAUACCCCUGGUAGU
rnacentral:rRNA from 1 species